GUGCUCACUUUGGCAGCACAUAUACUAAAAUUGGAACAAUACAGAGAAGGUUAUCAUGGCCCCUGUGCAAGGAUGACAUGCAAAUUUGUGAAGCAUUCCAUAUUUAU
ensembl:snRNA U6 U6 spliceosomal RNA